CCUACGGGAGGCAGCAGUGGGGAAUAUUGGGCAAUGGAGGAAACUCUGACCCAGCAACGCCGCGUGAAUGAUGAAGGUCUUCGGAUUGUAAAGUUCUUUUCUAAGGGAAGAAGACAGUGACGGUACCUUAGGAAUAAGCCUCGGCUAACUACGUGCCAGCAGCCGCGGUAAUACGGAGGAGGCGAGCGUUAUCCGGAAUGACGUGGCGUAAAGGGGGCGGAGGUGGUUUGGCAAGUUAGUAGCGUAACUCCAAGACUCAACCUUGGAACUACUACUAAAACUGUUGGACUUGAGUGCAGGAGGGGCAACCGGAAUUCUUAGUGUAGCGGUGGAAUGCGCAGAUAUUAGGAGGAACACCAGUGGCGAAGGCGGGUUGCUAGACUGUAACUGACACUGAGGCACGAAAGCGUGGGGAGCAAACAGGAUUAGAUACCCGGGUAGUC
rnacentral:rRNA from 1 species